GGACGGUUAGCUCAGCGGUAGAGCACCGCUUUCACACGGCGGGGGUCGCAGGUUCAAUCCCUGCACCGUCCACCA
rnacentral:tRNA from 3 species